rnacentral:rRNA from 1 species
GACGAACGCUGGCGGCGUGCCUAAUACAUGCAAGUCGAACGAACCGCGACUAGGUGCUUGCACUUGGUCAAGGUGAGUGGCGAACGGGUGAGUAACACGUGGGUAACCUACCUCAUAGUGGGGGAUAACUGUCGGAAACGACUGCUAAUACCGCAUAGGACAUAGGAUCACAUGAUUCUGUGACGAAAGGUGGUGCAAUCUAUCGCUCAUAGCUUGACCCGCGUUGCAUUAGCUAGUUGGUAGGGUAAAGGCCUACCAAGGUGAUGAUGCAUCGCCGACCUAAGAGGGGGAUCGACCAGAUUGGGACUGAGACACGGACCAUACUCCUACGGGAGGCAGCAGUAGGGAAUCUUCCGCAAUGGACGCAAGGCAGACAGAGCAACGCCGCGAGAGUGAAGAAGGUCGUCGGAUCGUAAAGCUCGGUUGUUAGGGAAAAAAAGCGCAUAGAGUAACUGUUAUGCGUGUGACGGUAUCUAACCAGAAGGCCACGGCUAACCACGUG